CUGCUGCCUUCCGUAGGAGUCUGGGCCGUGUCUCAGUCCCAAUGUGGCCGUUCAACCUCUCAGUCCGGCUACUGAUCGUCGCUUUGGUGGGCCGUUACCCCGCCAACUGGCUAAUCAGACGCGAGCUCAUCUUUGGACGAUAAAUCUUUGGCAGCAAAAUCAUGCGAUCCCCGCUGCAUUAUGCGGUAUUAGCAGUCGUUUCCGGCUGUUAUCCCCCAUCCAAAGGCAGAUUGCUCACGCG
rnacentral:rRNA from 1 species